CUACGGGAGGCUGCAGUGAGGAAUAUUGCACAAUGGGGGGAACCCUGAUGCAGCAACGCCGCGUGGAGGAUGACGCAUUUCGGUGUGUAAACUCCUUUUAUAUGUCAAGGAAAUGACGGUAGCAUAUGAAUAAGCACCGGCUAACUCCGUGCCAGCAGCCGCGGUAAUACGGAGGGUGCAAGCGUUACUCGGAAUCACUGGGCGUAAAGGACGCGUAGGCGGGUUGGAAAGCCAGGUGUGAAAUCCUACAGCUUAACUGUAGAACUGCACUUGAAACUUCUAAUCUAGAGUAUGGGAGGGGGAGAUGGAAUUAGUGGUGUAGGGGUAAAAUCCGUAGAUAUCACUAGGAAUACCUAAAGCGAAGGCGAUCUCCUGGAACAUUACUGACGCUAAGGCGUGAAAGCGUGGGGAGCAAACAGGAUUAGAUACCCCUGUAGUC
rnacentral:rRNA from 1 species